rnacentral:rRNA from 1 species
AACGAACGCUGGCGGCAGGCUUAACACAUGCAAGUCGAACGCCCCGCAAGGGGAGUGGCAGACGGGUGAGUAACGCGUGGGAAUCUACCUAGUUCUACGGAACAACUGAGGGAAACUUCAGCUAAUACCGUAUACGCCCUAAGGGGGAAAGAUUUAUCGGAAUUAGAUGAGCCCGCGUUGGAUUAGCUAGUUGGUGGGGUAAUGGCCUACCAAGGCGACGAUCUAUAGCUGGUCUGAGAGGAUGAUCAGCCACACUGGGACUGAGACACGGCCCAGACUCCUACGGGAGGCAGCAGUGGGGAAUAUUGGACAAUGGGCGCAAGCCUGAUCCAGCCAUGCCGCGUGAGUGAUGAAGGCCUUAGGGUUGUAAAGCUCUUUCAGUGGGGACGAUAAUGACGGUACCCACAGAAGAAGCCCCGGCUAACUUCGUGCCAGCAGCCGCCGUAACAC